GACGAACGCUGGCGGCGUGCUUAACACAUGCAAGUCGAACGGUAAGGCCCCUUCGGGGGUACACGAGUGGCGAACGGGUGAGUAACACGUGGGUGAUCUGCCCUGCACUUCGGGAUAAGCCUGGGAAACUGGGUCUAAUACCGGAUAGGACCACGCUCUGCAUGGAGUGUGGUGGAAAGCUUUUGCGGUGUGGGAUGGGCCCGCGGCCUAUCAGCUUGUUGGUGGGGUGAUGGCCUACCAAGGCGACGACGGGUAGCCGGCCUGAGAGGGUGUCCGGCCACACUGGGACUGAGAUACGGCCCUGACUCCUACGGGAGGCAGCAGUGGGGAAUAUUGCACAAUGGGCGCAAGCCUGAUGCAGCGACGCCGCGUGGGGGAUGACGGCCUUCGGGUUGUAAACCUCUUUCAGUACCGACGAAGCGCAAGUGACGGUAGGUACAGAAGAAGCACCGGCCAACUACGUG
rnacentral:rRNA from 1 species